GGAUGUGAGGGCUAUCUGGCUGCGACAUCUGUCACCCCAUUGAUCGCCAGGGUUGAUUUGGCUGAUCUGGCUGACUAGGCCCGUGUCCCCUUCCUCCCUCACCGCUCCAUGUGCGUCCCUCCCGAAGCUGUGCACUCCGUUGAAGAGGACAUCCCCGAUAGAGGAGGACCGGUCUUCGGUCAAGGGUAUACGAGUAGCUGCGCUCCCCUGCUAGAACCUCCAAACAAGCUCUCAAGAGACUUCUCUCAAGUGAAAAUAAUGGCCAAUAGACACAUGAAGAAAUGUUCAACAUCUCU
ensembl:misc_RNA 7SK 7SK RNA